AUGUACAAGAGAGGCACCGGUUCAGAUAUUGGCGUGUAUGUAGAUGAUCUCUUGAUCACAGGAGCUGAUGAAAGGGAAAUUGGAAGGUUCAAGAAGCAAAUGAAGGAAUUAUUUAAAAUGAGUGAUCUGGGCUUGUUAAGCUAUUACCUCGGGAUCGAGGUGCGUCAAAGUAAAGACGGGAUCACGUUGUGCCAGGAGGCAUAUGCCUUGAAGAUCUUGCAGAAUUGUGGCAUGGAGGAUUGUAAUCCUUCGCAAACGCCUAUGGAGGCGAGGCUGAAGUUGAGCAAGAGGAGCAAGGCGCCGACUGUUGAUUCAACCGAGUACCGAAGUAUUGUCGGAAGUUUACGAUAUCUUGUGAACACUAGGCCAGAUUUGGCAUACUCGGUUGGCAUAGUAAGCAGGUACAUGGAGAACCCUACCACUGAGCAUUUGACUGUUGUGAAACAGAUUUUGAGAUAUGUGAAAGGGACUCUGAAGUAUGGUUGCAAGUACACAAGGAAGAAGGAGGACAAAUCACUUCUAGUGGGCUAUAGCGAUAGUGACUUGGCAGGGGAUGUAGAUGACCGAAAGAGUACAUGGGGUGUUGCAUACUUUCUGGGAGAAAAUCUGAUCACUUGGUUAUCGCAGAAGCAAAAGGUGGUUGCCCUCUCAUCUUGUGAAGCCGAAUACAUUGCAGCGGCGACAGCGGCGUGUCAAGGAGUGUGGCUCAGUAGACUCCUUGCUGAUUUGACGAACCAGCAGCCAGAACAAGUAAAGCUUAGAGUUGAUAACAAAUCCACAAUAUCAUUGUGCAAAAACCCCGUUCAUCAUAAUCGCAGCAAGCACAUUGAUAUAAGGUACCAUUACAUCAGAGAAUGUGUAGAAGAAGGCAAGGUGGAGGUGGAUUAUGUCAGCACUAAAGAUCAACUCGCAGAUAUACUAACGAAGUCGUUGGGAAGACUGAAGUUUCAGGAGAUGCGCGAGAAGAUUGGAGUCGUGGCUGUUAAGUAG
rnacentral:rRNA from 1 species